rfam:Gorilla gorilla gorilla genomic chromosome, chr4, whole genome shotgun sequence
GGCUGGUUUCAGUGCAGUGGUGUUAACAACUAAUUGAUCACAACCACUAUAGAUUUCUUUAUUCCUUUUCCAUUCCCACUGGUUCACUUAGCUAGCCUUUC